AACGGAGAACAAUGAUCGUAAAACACUGCAAACAAGUCUAUAGUUUCAAAAUAACUUAUCUUAGAAGCUCACAUCAGCAACUUGAGAAACAUGACCCUGUUGUGAAAUGAACAUAGAAUGCGGAGAUGCUGCCUGAGGGGAAGACACAGGGGCCCGCAGAGGACGGAGCAGCUGCCGGGCUGGGGGCAGGGACACGCACGGUGGUGGGUGCUCCCCAGACCUGCUCGCUGCCUCCUCCCGGGUUUCCCGUUCCAGAUGGACCACGGCUUGUCUAUCCAUUCCCCGGCGAAGGAUGUCGUGGUGCAUCUUUGUGAGUUUGGAUGAUUAUGAAC